UCCCGCCGGACCUGACUGCUAUCGGAUUGAUACUAAGCCAUGCGAGUCUUUGUAGUAAUACAAGGCAGACGGCUCAGUAACACGUAGUCAACCUACCCUAUGGACAAGAAUAAUCUCGGGAAACUGGGCAUAAUUCUUGAUAGAUCAUAAUGCCUGGAAUGGUUUAUGGUUAAAAUGAUUCGUCGCCAUAGGAUGGGACUGCGGCCUAUCAGCUUGUUGGUGAGGUAAUGGCCCACCAAGGCGAUUACAGGUACGGGCUCUGAGAGGAGAAGCCCGGAGAUGGGUACUGAGACACGGACCCAGGCCCUAUGGGGCGCAGCAGGCGAGAAAACUUUGCAAUGUGCGAAAGCACGACAAGGUUAAUCCGAGUGAUUUCUGCUAAAGAAAUCUUUUGCCAGUCAUAAAACCACUGGUGAAUAAGGGGUGGGCAAGUUCUGGUGUCAGCCGCCGCGGUAAAACCAGCACCUCAAGUGGUCAGGAUGAUUAUUGGGCCUAAAGCAUCCGUAGCCGGCUCUGUAAGUUUUCGGUUAAAUCUGUACGCUCAACGUACAGGCUGCCGGGAAUACUGCAGAGCUAGGGAGUGGGAGAGGUAGACGGUACUCGGGAGGAAGUGGUAAAAUGCUUUGAUCUCUCGAUGACCACCUGUGGCGAAGGCGGUCUACCAGAACACGUCCGACGGUGAGGGAUGAAAGCUGGGGGAGCAAACCGGAUUAGAUACCCGGGUAGUCCCAGCUGUAAACUAUGCAAACUCAGUGAUGCAUUGGCUUGUGGCCAAUGCAGUGUUGCAGGGAAGCCGUUAAGUUUGCCGCCUGGGAAGUACGUACGCAAGUAU
rnacentral:rRNA from 1 species